GAAAAUCAAAACCCUAACUCUCCGCAAAACCGUCAUUCGUUUGAUGAAAACUUAUAAUAGUAUUGUCAUGAAUGGUUCUUUAAUUUGAUUUCUGCUUGGUCCGGUUAACUUUUUCGAUGCUGAUUUCGAUUUCGAUUGCGAUGUCGAUGAUUUGAACAAGAAACUGGGAGGGUUUUACGUCAACAGCCAACAUUCUUUCUUUUUCUAUAUAUUUCAUUAAAAAUAUACGUAUAUAUCUAUUUCAGGUCCGUUAAUAUAGGCUGCCUGGAGUUCAAUAUUUUGGUAGUAUCUUGUUAUCAUUAACGAGGGAAUUUAUGAUGUCAGUUAUCACCUUGUGCUUUUCAAAUUAGGAGAUGCGGGGUAGCGUGCUUUAUACUCACGUCGUCAUGCGGGUAGUUUCAUCGUCUAUAGUUCUUGAGCCUCUGCUUUGUCAUUUUCAUCUACCUUGAUCUUUUGUGUGCUUUUGCUUACAAGUUUGAGAAUUUGAACAACGUGUUUCUCGGUGCUUCUUGAUUUUAUUCCUGGUCUUUUGCUUGCAUGAGUUUUGUUCCCAUCGUAGGUCAAUUUUGAGUUUAUGAUAGACACUUACGGUAGUAAGCUACAUAUUGUGACUCCAGAUUCUUCAGAUUGUUCUGUUGGCUGUUAUUAAAAGAGGUGGACAUUGGAUCAUAGUUGCACAACAACUGGAUGGUUAUUUUUGAUAUAUUGCUAUCAUCAAGUCAUAAGAUAUAUGAUGUCAGGUUCUCAGGUUUAAUAAUUUGUAUUUCUGACUUUUAUUGUUUUUCUGGGGUUAUUUUAUGUUUUCGGUGUCUUACACUUUUACUUAAUUACCAAAUACAUUGUUAAACUGUGUAUGAAGAAUAAAUUGUCCUCCCCUAUAUGUCAA